rnacentral:rRNA from 1 species
AAGACUGGGAUAACUUCGGGAAACCGGAGCUAAUACCGGAUAAUAUUUUGAACCGCAUGGUUCAAAAGUGAAAGACGGUCUUGCUGUCACUUAUAGAUGGAUCCGCGCUGCAUUAGCUAGUUGGUAAGGUAACGGCUUACCAAGGCAACGAUGCAUAGCCGACCUGAGAGGGUGAUCGGCCACACUGGAACUGAGACACGGUCCAGACUCCUACGGGAGGCAGCAGUAGGGAAUCUUCCGCAAUGGGCGAAAGCCUGACGGAGCAACGCCGCGUGAGUGAUGAAGGUCUUCGGAUCGUAAAACUCUGUUAUUAGGGAAGAACAUAUGUGUAAGUAACUGUGCACAUCUUGACGGUACCUAAUCAGAAAGCCACGGCUAACUACGUGCCAGCAGCCGCGGUAAUACGUAGGUGGCAAGCGUUAUCCGGAAUUAUUGGGCGUAAAGCGCGCGUAGGCGGUUUUUUAAGUCUGAUGUGAAAGCCCACGGCUCAACCGUGGAGGGUCAUUGGAAACUGGAAAACUUGAGUGCAGAAGAGGAAAGUGGAAUUCCAUGUGUAGCGGUGAAAUGCGCAGAGAUAUGGAGGAACACCAGUGGCGAAGGCGACUUUCUGGUCUGUAACUGACGCUGAUGUGCGAAAGCGUGGGGAUCAAACAGGAUUAGAUACCCUGGUAGUCCACGCCGUAAACGAUGAGUGCUAAGUGUUAGGGGGUUUCCGCCCCUUAGUGCUGCAGCUAACGCAUUAAGCACUCCGCCUGGGGAGUACGACCGCAAGGUUGAAACUCAAAGGAAUUGACGGGGACCCGCACAAGCGGUGGAGCAUGUGGUUUAAUUCGAAGCAACGCGAAGAACCUUACCAAAUCUUGACAUCCUUUGACAACUCUAGAGAUAGAGCUUUCCCCUUCGGGGGACAAAGUGACAGGUGGUGCAUGGUUGUCGUCAGCUCGUGUCGUGAGAUGUUGGGUUAAGUCCCGCAACGAGCGCAACCCUUAAGCUUAGUUGCCAUCAUUAAGUUGGGCACUCUAAGUUGACUGCCGGUGACAAACCGGAGGAAGGUGGGGAUGACGUCAAAUCAUCAUGCCCCUUAUGAUUUGGGCUACACACGUGCUACAAUGGACAAUACAAAGGGCAGCGAAACCGCGAGGUCAAGCAAAUCCCAUAAAGUUGUUCUCAGUUCGGAUUGUAGUCUGCAACUCGACUACAUGAAGCUGGAAUCGCUAGUAAUCGUAGAUCAGCAUGCUACGGUGAAUACGUUCCCGGGUCUUGUACACACCGCCCGUCACACCACGAGAGUUUGUAACACCCGAAGCCGGUGGAGUAACCUUUUAGGAGCUAGCCGUCGAAGGUGGGACAAAUGAUUGGGGUGAAGUCGUAACAAGGUAGCCGUAUCGGAAGGUGCGGCUGGAUCACCUCCUUU